AUACGUAGGUGGCAAGCGUUGUCCGGAUUUACUGGGCGUAAAGGGAGCGUAGGUGGAUAUUUAAGUGGGAUGUGAAAUACUCGGGCUUAACCUGGGUGCUGCAUUCCAAACUGGAUAUCUAGAGUGCAGGAGAGGAAAGUAGAAUUCCUAGUGUAGCGGUGAAAUGCGUAGAGAUUAGGAAGAAUACCAGUGGCGAAGGCGACUUUCUGGACUGUAACUGACACUGAGGCUCGAAAGCGUGGGGAGCAAACAGGAUUAGAUACCCUGGUAGUCCACGCCGUAAACGAUGGAUACUAGGUGUAGGAGGUAUCGACCCCUUCUGUGCCGGAGUUAACACAAUAAGUAUCCCACCUGGGGAGUACGGCCGCAAGGUUGA
rnacentral:rRNA from 1 species